rnacentral:lncRNA from 1 species
UAAAACAUAGUCAAAGACUAGAAUGAAAUGUGCACAAACAAACGAGGACUAAAAAUGCAAAUGUUCCAAGUCUCAAAACGCAACGCUUAUUCACAGACUAAGUUGAAAUGACGUGUAAAUUCCAGGGAAAAAAUUUAAAAACAAAGAAAAUAUAAAUAGGGCCUAAUUAAAAGUCGGCAGGAAAGGAAGGACUAAACACACAAAUUCCACUUCUGGAAUAAAAAUGCGCGGAUUCGACUAUGGGUUGGGUCGACCCGUGGGUUCUUCCACCCCUUAAACAGCGCCGUUUUAUUCUUGUAUAUAAAUUAAAAAAAUUUCUCUAAAACUUUUAUUUAGCCGAUUAUCCCUUAAAAACUUAAAACCUUUUUUUUAAAAAAACUCUCUCAAACUCCUUUUCUCCGUCGAACGGGUUCGGCCGGCAUUUUGCCCUUUCGUUGCCGUGUCCGGCGCCGCGAAAAUAGGCUUUUAGCCCCGCUUUAAAGCACCCUUAAAGGCUAAGCCCCCAAAUCCCGAUGAAUCGAACGGACAUAGGGCUUGAUACCCUUUUAGAGUCGAUUACGACAGCGGCGUCGCAACCCAGGGAAAUCAGGUAAGUCCCUCCUCUUUCCCUUCUUUAGUUUCGUAUCAAAAUGAAAGAAAAAAUAAUAAAAUAAAAAAAAUUGAAAAGUAAAAAUGAAAAUCACCUUUAGCAAAUACUGUUUUUGUUUCUUGAUUCUAUUGAUCUGUGUGCGUAAGCCUUUAUACUGACUAUCUCUAGCUUUUUAUAACCGAAUGAAAUAAAAAUAAAAAUAAAAUUACAAGAACGAUUUUCUCUUCUUUUUUGUUAUUUCUUUGUUGUUGUUGUGCAUUUGCUGUGGCUUGUGGGUUUGUUGCAGGUACAGCUAGACAGGUGUGCGUAGAGAAAACAACAAGGAUUUCCAAAAGCUUCACCUUGUUUGGGCCCUGUGAGCCUAUCCCGAAGUCGAGCUAUUGGGGCGGAGGCCAUUGCUGCGGCGCGAGGAAGCUUCAAAAACACUUAGGGUUUUUGAAAGAAAUUUAAUCAUUGGGCCUUUUGGGUCAAUUUUGAUUUAGGCUAUUGGGCCAAAGGUCCAUUUUAGAUUUGGGUUAUUAUUUUUUUGUAUUUGGGCCAUUGUUUUGGGACCUUUGCAUUCAGGUUUGUAAAAAAUUAGGCCAAUCGGGCUUUGUAUUUAUUUGGGUUUUGUGAUUUGAUGGACUUGCUGGACUGUUACCAAUUUGGACUUUAUUUACUGGUUUUUUAUUUAUACUGUUUAUUAUUUUUUUGGAUAAUUUAUGGGCCCGGGUAAAAUGGGCCUAUUACAAAUAUUAUAAAAAUAAAUAUUAUUUUUAAAAUCUAAAGAUUCUUAAUACGGUAGAAUAUUCGGAACAGAAAAAUGAAAGGAAGAAAUAAUAGAUAGAAAAGAAGAGAAAAUUUCAGAGAAGAGAAAUGAAGAAGAA